rnacentral:tRNA from 1 species
GGCCCGUUGGUCAAGCGGCUAAGACAAUAGCCUCUCAAGCUAUUGACGUGGGUUCGACUCCCGCACGGGUCACCA